ensembl:lncRNA
GUAAGAUUCUGGCCAAGAGAAUUAAGGUGUAUGUUAAGGAUAUUAAAUAUUCUAAGAGUGGGAAGAGCUUCCUGAAGUGCUAGGAGAGAAAUGAUCAGAAGAAAAAGGAAGCCAAAGGAAAAAGCACCUGGUUUCAACUGAAGGGUCAGCCUGCCUCACCAGAGAGAUAGCUUUAAUUAGUGCCAUUCGAUACAUCAGAAUGCAUCAACCAGCAUAUAGAAUACUGGGGAGGAAACACAUGCUUAGUGAAGUUCAGCCAG